ACAAAUGAAGCAUUGGACCGACUUCUCCAAAGAAAAAAUCCUUUGUGGUUUAUCCUUUUUCCUAAGAAAACCUACAUUCCUAUUCUCCUUUUUUUUUUUUUACCAAAUUGACUAAAAAUCAUCCAACAUCCUUUCAUUCAAUCUUGGAUCUAAUCACAUCUUUGAUACAUUUAUAAAAAUCUAUUUUAUUGAAGAAGAAACAUGUAGAUCUGAAGCAAUUGAAGAGUAAGGGUUUCCAUGGUCUUUUUCAAGUUAAAAUUGUUGAAUCCAAACACAAGUUAUAGCAGAUCGAUUUGCUUAUAUUCUAGGAAGUUCAUCUUUCUUAACUACUGUGAAAGCAAAUUGGGUCUUUCUUUUGGUGAAGCUUUAACUAUACACAAGGAACCAUUAUUUGGGGCUCACAAGUGUACAACUCCAAAUUUAUCUCCAAAUGUUGAAGCUGAUGGGGGUAAGGCAAAGUGGGAAAGCAAAGUUGACUUCGGGUGAGGCCUCCCAACACACUUGCAGCCAAUGGUAAACCUUGACACAUUUCAACCGUUCUAUUCCCCAUGCUUACUAAUCCCUCUGGAACCUGCCCAUCAUCAAAUGCUCUUUGUUUGAAAAUGGACCAACAAUGAUCUUCUAAUUUUCCCAACAUAUGAAGAUCUACUGCUACUAGGGAUGCUAUCCAUUUCAUACGAGUUGUCACGAGAAUGCAGUUUCCUAUGGAUGGAUGUAUUUAUUCCUUUCAAUGAUCAGUUCAACAAAGCUCUUAGUCUUCGACAUUUCAGGUAGACACAAAAAAACUCUCUUUUCAAAGUGUUUCUUGAUAUGUUCAUCAUUGAAAAUUCUCUUAGCUAUGAGAAUGGUGCAAUCUGGAUGCUUUGGUGAAGCUUUGUCUGUAUACAAGGAACGAUUAUCUUGGGCUCAAAAAAUGGAGAAGCGGAUAACUACACUUAGAGAACCUCCAAAUUUAUCUGGAUGGGAUUUGCAAAAUGUUGCUAAUAGGUGUGAAUUUAAAUUUAUGGAGAAUAUCAUAAAACAAGUCCUACAAGAGGCCAACCAGACACCUCUAGAUGUUGCUUGAAAUCCAGUUGGAGUAGAUGCUCGUAUCAACAACAUGGUUGGUAUAUAUGGCAUUGGUGGAAUAGGAAAAACAACUUUGACAAAAGGUAUCUACAAGACUACAACCAAAUAUUUUAGUAAUUUGGUUGUAGUUUGCUUCCUUUCAAAUAUUGGAUCCCGAAGCAUUUAAUGGACAAAUUUUCAAAAGUAAAGACUUCAAAGUUAACAGUGUUACUGAAGGCAUCAAACUAAUCAAAGCAAGACUCGGGUUAAAGAAGGUUCUAUUGUUCUUGAUCAGCUUUUGUGAUAUUGGAGUCGCAUUUGCAAGGAAGAUUGGUAACUAAAUGAAGACAUCAAGUCCAAAAAUUAAGAGCAAUUCCUUGUAGUGAUAUCCAAAGAUGAGCUUUUGAUGGACUUGAUGAUGAUACUCACUUUUGAAGUUUUAUUUAAUAUAAUAUGAAUAUUAUUCUGAA